CUGCCUUAAUUGUUGACAUACAAGGCACUUGAAGAUGAAAUCAGUUAUCUCUCUUUUCAUCCCGCUCCACCAAAAAUGGGGCCGCAUACUUUGAUACAUCUUAAUACUUUCAAGAUUCAUGGUAAACUUUGAGCUAUGGGCCUCUAUCAUAAUGUCUCUUUUUAGUUCACUGUCGUUUGGAAUACACACCCUGUCCUAAAACCUGAACAACCCAUCGGCAGAGACCCAAAAUCCUGGAUUUACUCCAUGUUCUGCAUCCUUCCUGAGAGCUGUUAGGAUGGAAUCGAUCAAUUAGGCUUUCUUUAUUCUUUGGAUCAAUUCGGGUUAGACAAUUAAAUAGGCCAAGCACG
rnacentral:lncRNA from 1 species